AUUUCACCCUGCCUUGACUGGCAUCAAAAGUGAGGAUGCCUACUCUGAUCCCAGCAACAAGGAGUAGAGUAAAGUCUCCAGUACUAACAGUGAUGAGAAAACUGAAGUUCAGGAAUUGUGAAUGAUCUCUUGCAUGACUGAGUCCCUGGAGUUGGUGGGAGUAAUCACGUAAUGAAAUCUACAUUUAAGGAAAUGCAUUUUGGCAGCGGUGGGUAAGAUGAAAUGGACUGGGGAGAGGCAUGAGGUGAUGGCUCACUUCUAGACGAGAAACAGAAGGGUUUGAACUAGGUGAGAGUUGGGCAAGAGGAGAGAAGUAUGGGAGAUGUGAAGGCAGGAAAGACAAGAUUGGGAAACUGUUUAUGUCGAAGUUAAGGCGGAGUCCAGGAUCAGAUUGAGAUCAGGAACCUGAGAGAUUGGAAGGACGGUAGUGCCAGAAAUAGGGAAUCAAU
rnacentral:lncRNA from 1 species